UACAGAGGUCUCAAGCGUUGUUCGGAAUCACUGGGCGUAAAGGGUGCGUAGGCGGCGCGGAAAGUCAGAUGUGAAAUCCGGAGGCUCAACCUCCGAAUUGCAUCCGAUACUACCGCGCUAGAGGGUUGUAGGGGAGCUUGGAAUUCUCGGUGUAGCAGUGAAAUGCGUAGAUAUCGAGAAGAACGCUCGCAGCGAAGGCGAAGCUCUGGGCAACAUCUGACGCUGAUGCACGAAGGCUAGGGGAGCAAACGGG
rnacentral:rRNA from 1 species